rnacentral:rRNA from 1 species
AGAGUUUGAUCCUGGCUCAGGACGAACGCUGGCGGCGUGCUUAACACAUGCAAGUCGAGCGGUAGGGCCUUUCGGGGUACACGAGCGGCGAACGGGUGAGUAACACGUGGGUGAUCUGCCUCGUACUCUGGGAUAAGCCUGGGAAACUGGGUCUAAUACCGGAUAGGACUGCAGGGUGCAUGCCUUGUGGUGGAAAGAUU